ACUCAGUCUCUUACACCGGGCUUAUUUGGAAGUGCUGUUUCCAUUAGUACAUGGCAUAAGAGUGGGGCUGUGACCAUCUGGAAGAGGCCGUCUUUAACACAAAUUUGUCCUAAGGAAAAUAUUUUCAGAGUGGAAAGGAAGCUUGUUUUACUCACUGAAGCAUUCACUGAUAGCAUCACACAGUUGUGUGGGAGAGAAGGGGGUUUUGUACUGAAGUGAAACUCUCGGGUCUUGAGAAGUUAAAGAAUCUGGAUGAAUUCCUACUGAAUGGAGAGUAUUUCAAAAGGUCCCUGAGAACUGUCUUUCUCUCUACGGCUCCUGCUCUUGCUGAGUUGAAACAUUGCGUU
rnacentral:lncRNA from 1 species